ensembl:lncRNA
GAAAAGAAGGAAACUUCAAAAGAACCAAAUAGGACUGAGAAUGAAAACAUAAUUUAUGAUGCUCCAACUCUGGCAUAUUUCCGGACAGUCAGAGAAAAUGCAUUCAAAAAACUAGAGCUAGAAAGAAGGACAACCUGGGAAGAAAAAGCCUGAAGUUGAUCAGUGAAUUGAAAGAGAUGUGUGCCAUGAAAGAAAUUGAAGCUAGGGAAGAUGAAAAGGUCAUUGAAAAGGACAAUCGUUUUUAUGAUGAUUUGACUCUGGCAUCUCAUUUGAGAACCAGAGCAACUGAAUUUGAAAAACAGAAACUGGCAAUAAAGACCAUUUUUGAAGAGAAAACACAGACAUUUCUCAAGGAAAUCAAAGAGAUAUGUGCUAUGGAAGUAAAUUAUGUUACAGAAAUGGAAAACUUGAAUAAGAAGGAAAACACAACCAAAAAAGAAAAGAUUAUUUAUCGUUCUUCCAUCCUGGCACCGCUCUGGAAAAUCGGAGAAAGUGAUUUCAAAAAACAAGAACUGGCUAAAACAGCAAUUUUAGAAGAACAAACGCAAACGUUCCUCAAGGACAUUAAAGAGAUAUGUGCCAUGGAAAACAAUGAAGCUCCUACAGUGGACAGCAUCAUUGAAACGAAAGCCAUCACAAAAAAAAAAGAAACUGAAUUGAAAACACAGGAGCUGAUCAUAACAACAGCCUGUCAAGAGAGAGCACAGAAAUUUUACAAUGAAGUGAAAAAGAUAUUGGCCAUGGAAAAAAUUGAAGUGGAAAGUGGAACUGAAGAGGAAAAUGGUUUUGAUGAUUAUUCAAUUCUGUUAUCUCUCUGGAGAACCAGAGAAGCUGUAUAUAAGAAACAAAGACUGCAAUUCCAAACAGUUUUAGAAGAAAGAAGUCAGACAUUCUUCAAAGAAGUCAAAGAGUUAUGUGCUAUGAGGAGAGAAUUCAAUUCAUGGGAAAACAUUAAUGAGGAAGAAAAUAUCACCAUAAAGGAAAACAUGACUAAAAAGGAAAACAUUUAUGAUGCUUCGACUCUACUAUCUUCCUGGACAAACAGAGAAACUGAAUUCAGGAAACAAGAACUGACAAGAAAAAUCAUUUUGCAAGAGCAAACGCAGGCAUUCCUCACGGACAUCAAAGAGUUGUAUGCCGUGGAAAGUGAUGAACAUUCGGAAGAGGAAAACAUCCUUGAAAUGGAAAGAAUGAUUGAAAAUGAAACCGCUCUUAAUGAGGAAAACAUCACAGAAACAAAAACCACCACUGGGAAGAAAUCUAUUCGUUAUACUGGUUGGACCCUGGCCCGUCUCUGGACAAUCAGACAAAAUGAAAUAAAAAAACAAGAAAUGGCAAGAAAAGCAGCUCUGGAAGAGAAAGCUGAGAAUUACAUCAAAGUAAUCAAAGAGAUAUAUGCAAUGGAAAUCAAUGAUGACAAGGAGAAGAACGAAUUGAAUGCAAGGGAAUACACAAACACUUCUGAAAAGGUACCAGAAGUGGAACAAAAAAUAAGAGAAAAGGAAAAAACCAAAGAAAUAUCAGGAUUCCUGCUGAACAAAAACCUAGAAGAUCCACCCAUAAUAAUUUUAGAAACAGAAGACUCCAAUAAAUCUGACAAUAGGAGUGAGAACAUUGAAACUUUGGAAGCAUCACCAGAGACAAGGUCUGCAUCAUGGAUUCCCAGGUGUUUUCGAACCCUCAGGAAAAAAUUCAAAAAGGGACCAAAAGAGAGAAAAGAUCAACAGAAGGAUCAAGGAAAUUUUCCAUCAACUCAAGGGGAAAUAUCGCGCCGUACCAUGGAAAGAAGCUUUGACAACCAAAAUCGAAAGGAAAAAAAGAUUCUCCUUAAGAAGAUAAAAAAACUCCAACGGCUCGAGGCAGAACUGGAAAGAAGAAAUGCAAAAAGAGUCCUAAUGAGGACGGGCAUAAGAGAGAAGCCCAUCUAUUAGAACUAUUCUCAUUACAUCACAUGAAGCGGCACAAAGACCUGUUACAGUGGAGGGAAAGAAGAGAGGGAGAUGAGCAUUGUUUGAACCUUACUGUCAUCAAAUUUGACUCAAGAAGGGAAUAACAUAGGUUUAGAAAUCUAACUUGUCUAAUAUGCAGUAGGAGGGGAAAGAAAAGGGAGGGGGGAUGGAAGGGACGGAAGAAGUAGUAAAGGAAAAAGGAAAGAAAAGGGAGGGAGCUGAUAGAAGGGGGGGCAGAUCGAGGGAGGCGGUGGUCAAAAGCAAAACUCUGGUGAAGAGGGAAAGGGAGAAACGAGAAAGAAAAGCAUAAAGGGGCAGGGAAUGGGAUGGAGAGAAAGACACUGAUAGUAAUCAUAACUGUGAAUGACAUGAACUCUCCCAUAAAUGGAAGUGGAUAGCAGAAUACCAAAUUAGAAACACUGAAAACCAGAGGAGAGAUUAAUAAAGUUGAAAUUAAGAAAACUAUUGAACUAAUA